GAUUAUAUGAUCUUGCAUCUAAGAAGUAUUUGGUCUCCAGGGAUGUUCUCUUUCAUGAAUCAGUUUUUCCUUUUAAAUCUGUGCCUUCUUCUGCUCAUCCUCCUGCUUCUUCUUUUCCCUUCAUUCCAUCUGGAGAAGAUGAUGAUGCCUCUGAUUCUCCCAUUUCUCUCUCUCCUCCCUCUUCUCCCACAUCUGUGCAGCUGCCUUUUCCUACUCCUUUGAGUCCUGCUGGGCCAUCUACUGUUUUAGCUCCUUCUCCCUCUGUUCCUGCUCCCACAAAAUCUCAAAGACAACAUAAUCCUCCUUCCUAGCUUAAGGAUUAUGUUUGUCAACUACCUGCCUUUUCUAGCUCAUCUUCCUCCUCUUUGGAAUCUGAGCCUCUAUACUAUUCUCAGGCUGCAUCUGUUCCAGCAUGGCAAGUUGCCAUGAGACAGGAGUUUGAAGCUUNNNNNNNNNNNNNNNNNNNNNNNNNNNNNNNNNNNNNNNNNNNAUGAGACAGGAGUUUGAAGCUUUGGACACUAACCAUACUUGGGAUGUUGUUCCUCUUCCUCCUGGUAAGAAACUCAUUGGUUGCAAAUGGGUUUACAAAAUUAAAUACAAAGCUGAUGGCAGUGUUGAAAAGUAUAAGGCCAGAUUGGUUAUUAGGGGUGACACACAGGUUGAGGGGAUUGACUUUACUGAAACUUUCUCUCUAGUGAUUAAAAUGACUUGUGUCAAGUGCCUUAUUAUUGUGGCUGUCAAGAAUCAUUGGCCUCUAUUUCAGCUUGAUGUCAAUAAUGCAUUUCUUCAUGGUGAUUUGGAUGAGGAUGUUUAUAUGAAACUUCCUCCAGGUUUGACUGUCUCUCCUUCUACUUCUGGUUCUGUUUCUUCCCCUUCUUCUCCUUCUCCUCCUCUGGUAUGCAAGCUCAAGAAAUCCUUGUAUGGGCUGAGACAGGCAUCCAGACAAUGGUAUGCAAAAUUGUCUUCUGCUCUUUAUUCCAGAGGGUAUACUCAUUCUUUGAAUGACUACUCCUUGUUCAUCAAGGGUAAUCCUGGCUCCUUUGUGGUGGUAGCUGUUUAUGUGGAUGACAUAAUACUCACUGAGGAUGACAGUGAUGAACUGACU
rnacentral:lncRNA from 1 species